GAUCCUGGCUUAGGACGAACGCUGGCGGCACGCUUAACACAUGCAAGUCGAACGGAGAAUUUGGAUUAUUCGGAAUUCUUAGUGGCGGACGGGUGAGUAACACGUGAGCAACCUGCCUCUGAGAGAGGGAUAGCUUCUGGAAACGGAUGGUAAUACCUCAUAACAUAACGAAGCCGCAUGACUUUGUUAUCAAAGAUUCAUCACUCAGAGAUGGGCUCGCGUCUGAUUAGAUAGUUGGUGAGGUAACGGCUCACCAAGUCGACGAUCAGUAGCCGGACUGAGAGGUUGAACGGCCACAUUGGGACUGAGACACGGCCCAGACUCCUACGGGAGGCAGCAGUGGGGAAUAUUGCACAAUGGGGGGAAAAACCCCUGAUGCAGCGAUGCCGCGUGGAGGAAGAAGGUUUUCGGAUUGUAAACUCCUGUCUUAAAGGACGAUAAUGACGGUACUUUAGGAGGAAGCUCCGGCUAACUACGUGCCAGCCGCGGC
rnacentral:rRNA from 1 species